GGGGAUUUAGCUCAGUGGCACAGCACCUGCCUGGCAAGCAAGAGGUCCCAAGUUCAAUCCCCG
rnacentral:tRNA from 1 species